GCUUUGUAUGGUCUAAAACAGUCAUCUAGAGCAUGGUUUGAUAGGUUCAAUAAAGCGAAGAUCUCCUUUGGAUACUACCAAAGCAAUGCUGAUCAUACCUUAUUUAUAAGACAUUCUAGAGGUAAGAUCACUUUGUUUAUUGUCUAUGUGGAUGAUAUAGUUGUGACAGGAGAUGAUAGGGAGGAAUUUGCUCGAUUGAAAACUCUC
rnacentral:misc_RNA from 1 species